UACGGGGGGGGGCAAGCGUUGUUCGGAAUUACUGGGCGUAAAGGGCUCGUAGGCGGCCAACUAAGUCAGACGUGAAAUCCCUCGGCUUAACCGGGGAACUGCGUCUGAUACUGGAUGGCUUGAAUCCGGGAGAGGGAUGCGGAAUUCCAGGUGUAGCGGUGAAAUGCGUAGAUAUCUGGAGGAACACCGGUGGCGAAGGCGGCAUCCUGGACCGACACUGACGCUGAGGCGCGAAAGCUAGGGGAGCAAACGGGG
rnacentral:rRNA from 1 species